ensembl:snRNA U1 U1 spliceosomal RNA
AUUAUUAUUGGCAGGAGAGAUACCAAGAUCAUGAAGCUGGUUUCUCCAGGGAAAACCAUUAUCCAUUGCACUCCGGAUUUUCUGACCCUUGUGAUUUCCCCAAAUGUAGGAAACUCAAUUGCAUAAUUUGUGGUGAGAGGGACUGCAUUUGAGUUCUCCUUCA